UACGUAGGUGACAAGCGUUGUCCGGAUUUACUGGGCGUAAAGAGCGCGCAGGCGGUCGUUCAAGUCGAGUGUGAAAGCCCCCGGCUCAACUGGGGAGGGUCAUUCGAUACUGAUCGACUCGAAGGCAGGAGAGGGUAGUGGAAUUCCCGGUGUAGUGGUGAAAUGCGUAGAUAUCUGGAGGAACACCGAAGGCGAAGGCAGUGUCCUGGCGAGUGACUGACGCUGAGGUGCGAAAGCCAGGGGAGCGAACGGG
rnacentral:rRNA from 1 species